UCGAGCGCCCCGCAAGGGGAGCGGCAGACGGGUGAGUAACGCGUGGGAAUCUACCUUUUGCUACGGAAUAACGCAGGGAAACUUGUGCUAAUACCGUAUGUGCCCUUCGGGGGAAAGAUUUAUCGGCAAAGGAUGAGCCCGCGUUGGAUUAGCUAGUUGGUGGGGUAAAGGCCUACCAAGGCGACGAUCCAUAGCUGGUCUGAGAGGAUGAUCAGCCACAUUGGGACUGAGACACGGCCCAAACUCCUACGGGAGGCAGCAGUGGGGAAUAUUGGACAAUGGGCGCAAGCCUGAUCCAGCCAUGCCGCGUGAGUGAUGAAGGCCUUAGGGUUGUAAAGCUCUUUCACCGGUGAAGAUAAUGACGGUAACCGGAGAAGAAGCCCCGGCUAACUUCGUGCCAGCAGCCGCGGUAAUACGAAGGGGGCUAGCGUUG
rnacentral:rRNA from 1 species